rnacentral:rRNA from 1 species
GCCAAAAAUUUAGCCCACCUCAUAAUCUAAUGAAACCUAAGAACUAACUCCAUCAACUAAAACAUUCUUCUAUUUUAGUAAAGGCGAUUAAAAAAUUACUAGGAGCUAUACAAACAGUACCGCAAGGGAAAAAUGAAAUAGAACUGAAACAACCCUAAAGCACAAUAAAGUAGAGAUUAACCCUCGUACCUUUUGCAUCAUGGUUUAACUAGUCAAAUCAAGCAAAACGACUUAUAGUUUGACCCCCCGAAACUAGGCGAGCUACUUCAGGGCAGCUUAAUGAGCCAACCCGUCUCUGUUGCAAAAGAGUGGGAAGACCCUAAAGUAGCGGUGACAGACCUAACGAGCCUAGUGAUAGCUGGUUACUCAGGAAAAGAAUCUUAGUCCAACCUAAAGAAUAAAAAAUAAUUUAAAAUAACAUAAAUCCUUUAGAGCAAUUCAAAUAAGGUACAGCCUAUUUGAAACAGGAUACAACCUCAAUAGAAGGGUAACUACACCCCAUAACAACUAAGUAGGCCUAAAAGCAGCCAUCUCUAAAAUAGCGUCAAAGCUUCAUUGUUAAUAUACCAAAUUCCACAAUUAACCAAGAACCCUCCCCCCGUACUGAGUACUUCUAUACUCCUAUAGAAUUUUUUAUGUUAAAACUAGUAACAAGAAGAAGACCUUCUCUUAAAUGCGAGUGUAAAUCAUAAGGACACACCAAUGAUAAUUAACACCCAUGAGAUAAAAUAGCAACCCUACAAGAAAACCCUACUUUAUAUUGUGUUUAUCUAACACAAGAGCAUUUCAAGAAAGAUUAAAAGAAAAAGAAGGAACUCGGCAAAUAUUAACCCCGCCUGUUUACCAAAAACAUCGCCUCUUGAUCAAAAAUAAGAGGUCCAGCCUGCCCAGUGACUCUGUUUAACGGCCGCGGUAUCCUAACCGUGCGAAGGUAGCGUAAUCACUUGUCCUUUAAAUAGGGACUAGUAUGAACGGCACCACGAAGGUUAUACUGUCUCCUUUUUCCAAUCAGUAAAACUAAUCUCCCCGUGAAGAAGCGGGGAUUAAUUUAUAAGACGAGAAGACCCUAUGGAGCUUUAAACUACGUAACAAUUGCUUGACAUCCCUAGAUUUCAGAAUCACUCACACCUAUUAUAGCUUAAUGAUUACUAGUUUUAGGUUGGGGUGACCGCGGAGUAAAAGACAACCUCCACUUUGUAUGGAAUUAAAUUCCUGAGCCAUGAGACACACCUCUAAGCACCAACUAAUUGACAUCAAUUGACCCAUUAUUAUGAUCAACGGACCAAGUUACCCUAGGGAUAACAGCGCAAUUCGCCUCAAGAGCCCCUAUCGACAGGCGAGUUUACGACCUCGAUGUUGGAUCAGGGUACCCAAGUGGUGCAGCCGCUACUAAAGGUUCGUUUGUUCAACGAUUAAAACCCU